UAAAGUCUUUAGCGACAUUGGUUCUAAUGGCACUUAACUAAUGCCGGUAAAGACUUUAAC
rnacentral:pre_miRNA from 1 species